GAUCACAUAGUGCUCCUGAAGUGAGAGUCCAGUGUGCGUUCAUGUUUAUGAGCACUGCUCAUAGAAGCUGGCCCUGCAGCGAGAGUAGAUGGAGGCUUGGCUUACAGUCAGUCCUACAUGGAUUUCUUUUUCUUCAUGGACAAGGAGUUUUUGCGCUCUCCAUUCUGAGGAUGAGACUGCAGCAUCUCAGGUAGAGGCUGCUGUUAAAUCGGAUGCCAGACUCUCACAGUUCUUACCAGGGCUGAGGUAUCACCUGCUUUUCUUUGGGCAUGAGAUGGAUUGAAAUCACAGUUUCCUUAUGCACUUUUUUUCUGAUGUUUCAUCACAUCUCUCUGCUCUCAGGCAAGUUAUUAUGGCUGAUGCAACAUUGGCUGCAUGAAACUUGGAGUGGAACGGCUUUGUAGAGUAGUUAAGGAGGAGGAAGUGAUGGGUAGAUUGGUCGAUUGAGAAAGAUGUAGUAUCUCAGUCCCUGGAAGCUUUUUGGAAGAGGCUGGCUCUGUGCCUCAGCCAUGUUACACAACAGUGGAACCUGUUUUAAGACAGAGCGUGAAGUUGUCUUUGCACCAUUCUUUCAUGUCUACUUUGCAAAUAGUAUUUGCUAAUUAAUUGGUAGUGACAAAUGCUCAUGGAAUAUUACCAUCAAAGCAAUAUUUGAUGGAUAUUUGAUGUAAUAACCAUCAAAGAAAUAUUUGGAAGUAGUUGCUCCUGGUGUACUGGGUUUGAGCUUCCAAACAAGAGCUCCAACUAAGUGAGCAAGAAGAUGACAUGUUCUCUUAGCUGUGGGUACCUUUUGCUGAAAGGGUGUGAGCAAUAAACCCAUGCAGAAACCGUUAUUAGUCCUUGCAGGCUCUGAUGUGGUCACACUAAACCACAGGUUUGUUUUAUAAGUGAAUGCAGUCACUUUGCUUUCUAAUAUUUGGCUGGCUUUAGAUAUGAUUUCCUUUUUUCCCUUCUUGUUUUCUUUCAUGAAGCCAACAUUUAUCAUUUUUUUGAGGUGUUUUAAUCACUAGAGAGGAAUGCAUGCUUCUCAGAAACUCAGAAGAUGUUUUGCUCUUCAGCAUUGUCUCUCCCCUGCAUAUGGACAAACAGGAGAUCUGGGUAAAGAGAAUCAGUCAUGAGGCUGAGGAGAGCUACAGGCAUGAAAGAAAGCCUCUGAAGAGAGUGAAUGGAAUGGCAGAAAGGCUGCAUUUUUUUCUAGAGAUUUGUGCAUUGCAUGAGAAGGGAUAAUCCUGCUGCCUUUUCUGCAGCAGGAGAUUGCAAGUUUCGUUUAUGUUUUGCUUAUUUUUUGUGACCCAGAACGUGUUUCUCAUCCCAGCUCUUAGCUCUUCCUUUGCUGAGUCUUUUGAUUUUUGUUUUGUUUUGUUUUUGUUGUUCUUUUCCUCCUCAGCUCUUCACACAUGAAGCACAAAGCAGAGGCCAGAUGAGCCUGCUACCCCAUUUGACAUCUUCACAGCAUGACUGAUGCUAUCUGGGCUUUGAAACAGAGGCAGCUGUGACACAGGGCCUCCCCAGCAGCUCUCCUGUCCUGCUUCUGUUCCAGCUUCAUGCAUGUUUUCAGGGCAGCAAGCCUGCUCCUAAUGCCAUGGCUAUGGCUUCAGGCAGCCAGAAGUCAUCUGCAGUUUGCCUCCUGUGACACUGAGUCACAGGGAAGAGGAAUAUCUUGUCUCAUAGGAAACACUCUGGCUUCAGGCUUCCUUUAGCAUUUCCUCACUUAAGCACCAGUUUAGCAAAGCAUUUGAAUAGAGUUCAUUCUGCUGCUGUCUACACCUCACCACUCCCCACAGUAUGACAGUGGAUGUUCUCAUGGUGCUGAUGGUUGUUUCCUGAAGAAGUGUCAACUAUAUGAGGUGGAGUCGGUUGCUUUGGUGUUCCCUAUUUAUGAAAAAUAUUAAAAAUACUUCAUGAAAAAUCAUGACUCUGGUGGCAGAAACUUUCUUCCUUUUCAGCUUUUGCAAGCUUUGUCAGUUCAGUAGUGCGGAAAUAUACAUGAAUGAUGGAGAGAGGCACUUUUUUUGUCCACUACCAAAAGAAAUGCAACAUUCUGGGGAAAGAAGAAAAUUUCUUGUUGCUUUCAUCAGUAAAUGAAACUUCAGAAAAAGUCUCUCUUGCACACAUCAUUUUGGAGGAAACUUUCCACUUAGCCACAUUCUUGGGGGCGUUGGACAGGUCUGCCUUCACCUUGGUACAAAAAUAUCUCAGAUGUCCAAAACUGCCCUGGAAACUUCACUGGAAUAGCCUUUCCUGUGAGAUUUCUGCUUCCUGGGCUGGCAGUGCAGCCAGACUCGGUGAGAUUUCCCCGGCACUGUAUGUCAUGCUGUGGCUGCACGGUAGCUCAACUCUAAGGCUCCUCCUGAGCAGAUGCAGAAUCUACUAAGACUAAGGUCAACUUAAAUACCCAAGAUUUUCACAAUCAAGAGUCUUACUAGUGGCAAUACUUUAAAACCUUCACAGGUGAAAGCAGCCUUUAGAUUCUUCAAUCUUAUGAAAAAAAAAUUAAAGUAUUGCAUCAGAGCCAUAGAGAACUAUGUUGGGAAAACUAAGAAUACAACACCAGCCAUGUCUGGGCAGUAAUGCUUCACUCUGUUACUGUCAGCUCACCUCUAGCAGGUAGUGCAUUUGGGGCUACACUGACAGCAUCACUCACGCAUCAGGUGCUCUGGAUGGUGUUAGGGGCCAUUGGAUGCCUGUCUCAGGCAUUGAGGGAGAGGACAGUUCAGACAGCCUUCUUGUUUUAUUUCCUCCUUUCCCAGUCAAGGUACUGAAGUCCUGUAGCUCCUCCUGAGCAGAUCUGGCGUGGGACUCAGAGCACUCAUUCAUUUUACAUUGAUGCUUCAAGCACCAUUUGAAGGUAGUGGUCCUGGUGGCAUUCGGGGUGAUGUCAAGUCCCUGUAGCCUCUUUCUAAAUGCUUGGUGCCUACUGUCUCUCUUUCUGGGAUCUGCUGCAUUGCAGACUGUGUUUUAACAGAAUCUGCUGGGCUGGAAGGUGCAGCUGUUCCAAUCACAUUCACAGAAGGCUGAUGCUAAACAUAAGCCCAUACUCUGUUUGUUCUUCUGUGAUGCUUAUAUAUCUUGUACUUUGUCUGGGAAUUCAGAUUGUGUUUCUUGGCCUGACUCUGUCGUAUAUAUUUAAUCCUGGUUUCUUUACUCUCUUGCAGAGACUUGCUAGGGAACAGGAAGCAAAAGGAGAGUCUUGGUGAGACAACAUGUAGGGAGAGCUGACAGCCAGCCAAAAGCCCCAUCCAGCUACAAGAAGUUUGUAAGCAGAAUAGCACCUCAUCAUUCUUCCUCCAGAAGCUUGGGCAGUUGGACAGGUUUUCCAUCCUGCUAGGCUAGAAAACAUGGGGUGAUUAUUUAGACAAUAUGGUGAAUAUUACUUGAUAAUUGCCUUGCAGAGAGAGCUGCCGAUAGGGGAGAGGGGAGAAAAAGUCUGGAGGCAUGAAAAGGGGAACACUUGAGCUAAAUCGGUACUGGGUAUUUGGAGUCAGAUUCCUGUCCUUUUCCUGUGCCUGCUAAUUCUAAGUCCAAACUAGAACAGGUUUGCCUACUUUUACAGAUGGAUCUGGGAGAUGGAGUGCAUGUCUCAGGCUCAGCCAAAAGCACAAAGUUUCCUAGGCAGUGAGUGUAGUCUGACUGCAGGACUGGCUUUGUCCUGGUUCCAGCAGGUCCCAGCUUUGAUCCUGUCUGGUGGUACUUCUACACUGAGAAGUACCUGGAAUUAAAAACUUAGAGAGUCAUUUGGAAGGUAAUUAGCACAGGAAAGGAGAGACCUGCUACUUGUUUCUUACAUACAGGUCUCACUAUCAGUUCUCUUAUGGAAAAAACAAAAACAAAAAACCUCCAGAUGUUGCCAACAGAACCAAGGAAAAUAGAUUUGUUGGAAUUAUGCCAGAUAGGCUGUGAAACCACACAGGGAAAUAUCCAUCACUGGAAAAUAACUCUGAUCUACAGACAAGGUAAGAAACAACUUUGCUAUAUGCUUUGUGUUACACUGAGGAGAGUAUAGAGCUUGCUUUUCUUUGUAUGGGUCCGUGUGUGAUGAGAUGUUGAUUCUGGCUUUGGUGAUGCUUAGGUUGCAGGAACCCUGAUCUGGCCAGUGCCAGAGUCCUGGCAGUGUGGGCCAUGUCCCACAUUGACAAGCUCACUGUUAGGCUGCAGCAUGAUUUAAUUCACGAUUCACAAACCAGAUGCAUAUUUCUGUCUGUGAGGAAAGAAAGCAAUAUAGAUCAAUGCUAGAAACCUAGCAGUCCUAGAUCAGAUCCAACAGUUCAGCUAAACGUAAUGGGGCUCCUUCCCCUUUGCUGUUUGUUUUGCCUCAUCCCAGCACACAUCCCGAUCCCGGAGAAGGGGAACUCCGUGGGAUGACACUUUUCUGCUGGGGAAGUCUGUUCAAGCUUCUGUUCAGAUCCUCAGUGCUCCACUUUGGGAUACUGAGCCGUCACUGAGGUCUGUCCCACACAGCUGAUGGCACCUUGUCCAGAGCAGAGCCCUGUGAAUGCACUGAUGUGGAUGCAACGACCUCUGUCUCCUCCUCCAUUCUGCCAAAGGUAUGGAGGAUAUAAGGGCUUGAGAAAGCAAGUUGUAUGCAUGUGAGUCACUCAGCGUGUGAAGUGUUUGCACAGUCAUCCCAGGAUUUUCCACCUAGUCUUUGAGUUGGGUUAUGGAUCAAAAGCAGAUGAGUCUCUCAUCUUGUGAACUUUUGGGAAAAAAUAAAGGAUGUGAAGGACAUCUGAUUCAAUGCUAUCCAAAAUUUGGUAGCUGCUCAGUGUUGGUGCAGAACUGAAGAUGUGGUGCUUCUACUUGGAGAGAUGGGAUGUCACACCUAUGCCAUGUACUUCAGAUGUCCAGGUGGUGGUGCUUCCGCAGGAAAUUCUCAUCAAGAGCCGCAUGCACAGAAAAUAUUUGAGGGCUCUGCAGUGAAAAUAAAAUGAUACAGAAUCCUUCUGGGAGGGCCAGCAUCAAAGAGGUGAGUAGAGGUCAGGCACACGGAGAGGCAAAGCAAUUAGAUGAUUACUUACGUGCAUCCUGCUUAAGGCUGUCUUAAGGAUUGUUUGGAAGGUCUUAGACAGUGGUGUUGCCACAAGUUCUGGAGUGUUUUUGAGAUACAGAUGGUACAAAGUGGGAUGGUACUGUUCAUGUGCCAUCUACUAUACAGCAGAGGCUGAAGAGCUUUUCGACAGAAAGUUUUCCUUUCAGGACUCUAUGUUGCUGUUGAAAAUAAAUACAGAGCAUCUUGUUCCAUUCUUAGAGGGAAACGAGUACAGUGCUGUCUGUACCAUGGCUGCUACGCUGAUGGCCACUGUUGAUUUCCUCGAAGAGAAUGUUAAUAGCAAGCUUCAGUUCAGAGGCAAUAAUCUGUAUUUCUCCCACACACUGCCAGAAUGUGGGCAAGGCAAAGAUUCCUCUCACAUUUCUCACUGCUGCUGGACCAAUCAAUGGCAAUGGGAAGUGCUUAUGCUGUUGGCCUGUCUUCUGGGCAGGGACUUGGAGUGGACACAAUAAAGAUGAUACUGAAGGUAAAUGCAAGCUACCAGGCAGAAGCAACUCUGAGACUGCAGGCUUUUCUGCAGCCAGAUGAUGUUAACAGAUCCCACUCUCCACUGCGUGCUUUAGAGGAAGGGACGGUCUUCGUAACAGGCUAAAUUAAUUGAUUCAUAUUUGUGCCAUAAUCAUCUCUGGAGAGAAAUUUCUCAUUUAUUAUCAUAUGUCCAGAAGCAUUCACAAUGAAUAGGCCUUAUAGUUUUCAGCAUACCUCAGACAUUUGGUUGUAUCUUCAGAUGGUGAAAACUGGCAUUGCUUUGUUGCCUUUCCAAGUCAUUUUGCAAUGAUUGAAGAUUGAAACUUUUGUGGCUUUGUGCCGUAUGUUCUUUCUAAAGGGAAAUGAAUGUACAGUUGUCUUUUAUUUUGCAAUGAUCUUCUAAAGUACUCAGUUUAAAGAUUGGGUGUGCUUGACGUACUUUCCACCAAUUUCUUUCAGAUUAAUGAUCCUCUGAUGCCUCUCACAUGACUGGGAGGUCUUGAGCUUUGAUGGAGGAGUCUUUGAACAACAAGGGAGGACUGGAAAAUCUGGGGAACUUCUAUUUUAGAGCCUUAAAUAUUGUAUACUGAUAUACUAUCCUACUGUUGAGCUGUUUCAGUAUUUCUAAUCUCAAGGUCAUUUCAUAAUAGAUACGGGAAUGAUUCUUGGUUGACUUUUCUGCUGUUUUCUCAGCUUCCUGGGGAAGACCAAGACUCCCAGUACCUUCCUUUCAAAAGCAUCUAAGACUAGGGUGCUUCAAAUGAACAAAAUAGAGAACCAGGCCUCCCCCUCUACCCUCCCAAGAAAAGAUCUCACCCUGAAGCCUUGGUAAGAGGGCUGGCAGGCACAUGUUUUUCCAUCCCUCCCUUUCCUCUCGGUGAUAAUUAAAAGCAUCAGCUGCUACUCACUGUGAGCAACGGUUUAAACAUUCCUCUCACAGGUAGUGGAAACAUGAGUUGUUCUGGAGGCCUAUCGAAACUGGGAGUCAACUUCCUGCAGAGUCAGGCUUUGGACUGGGGAAAUGGGUUGUUAGCUGGGCAUACUCCAGAGGAUCCCCAAACUGAGAGCACUCUAGAAAGCUGGAGGAGUCUGAAAGCAUUGACAGGAACAAACUGGUUUGAAAGACACUAAGCGUUAAGGAGGAAAAGCUUGAAUGCUGAUAGUGUUUGAGCUCCAGUGCCCAGAAGUAUUGCUACCUGGAAGAAAGAGGCCAGCAAUUCCACAAGUAGCAGCAGGAGUCAAAUCUACUUUCUAACAUGUCCUUCUGGGAGCUCUCCAGGGCCAUCAGCCUUUGCCAUAACAGGGGCACUAACAGAGAUUUUCUGGUCUGUUUGGUCACUGUUUUUCUUGCUAUUCAUAUGGACUUGGUAUCUUGGAGGCCCGUCCUUCAAAUUCCAGUAGAAGUUAGGCAACAGUUCCCAACAACUCCCAGAGGCAACUGUGCAUGUGAUGUGACUGCACACAGAACAAAAUCCUCGUGUGUUGGGAGGAAUGGCUGCAGACCCCUUCUGUGGCAGCUGCCACUUUCAUAGGCCUGAUCUUCAGGAAGAAUCAACUCUGAAGGGAAAACGAUGACUGCCCUGUGAUGCACUGUGCGGCUGUCAGUGAUGUUUCACUUUGAGGUAGUCAGCAACUCAUGUCAAAGUUCUUGCUUGCACUUGAUGCUGCCUCAGAAAGGCUGAGUCACUCUUCACCCUCAUUCACCCUGGUUACAUAUGUUUACUCUGUGGUUGUGUGGUGGUUGGGAAAGUCCUCAAGUACAAGGAAAGACAAAUCUGGCUUCUUCCUAAAAACUUAGUCCUACUGCUUUUAUAAUGAGAAAGCUGGUUGACAUGUCAGUCCCAACAUCAGGGCUUGAAACACAAUGUAGUUUUGCCGUCUGCUUGUCCUCAGGGAUCUGAGCUCCAAAACAUGAAAUACAAAUUAUAUUUAUGUCAAAACAAAAUAUCAAGGAGUACCCUCUUGGUUCCUGCCCUGUAACUAGGUCUCCAUCAGUAUGAAAGAAUGAAAUGAACAAUUUUCUAUUUUUCACUCUGGAGGGUGUUUCAGCCGAAGUUUGCUGCUUGCUUCUGUCUGUGUCCAUGGAUGUCUAUGAAUCUUGAAUCUCUCAAUAUUUGCAUGGGUUAUGAGCAGUUGCGCAGCUAAUUGCUGGCAGCAACUGAAGUGUGUUUAAAGUUAUUCUCUGGUAAUUUGGUCAUGAAAUUGUCCUCAUCCAUAGGAGCCUUGGUGCUUAACUCUUUGUAUUGGUUUCAAGUUAUCUUCAACUUCAGUCACCACUGGUAUUUCUGAAAGUUAAAAAUCAGUCAGUCGUUUAGUAUUCAUUAAGCCCUACAUUUUUAAACAGUGAAACCUCUACAAAAGCAUCUCUGAAAGCUGUCUCACAAAAAUAUGACUACUAAUAACGAAAUUUUCCUGCUGGUAAGCAUAAAUCAAUGCUUUCUUAGUAGCUUUGGAUGAGGAUCUUAAUGGGGCCUAUCAGCAUGACUCCAUUUAAAGUUUCAGUCGUUGUAUUACCUGGGUGACCACAGAUGCUCCGAAGGUAACUUCAGAAAGGCUUAGGAGAAUAUGGGUUUAGCUGAAAUUGGGGCGUGGUGACAGAGGUUAAAGUCAGUCAUGUGCAGCUUUCUGGGAUGCACAGAGACUAGGCUAAUAUUUUUUCUGGCUGAUGGCCUAUUGAUCCUCCCAAGUCUCCUACAUUCAUUUUCUACUGGUAGGCAACAGCACUCACUCCUGUCACACCUGGCUUAGGAGCCAUGGAAUAAAAAACUCAGCCCAAGAUGAGAAACUUAAAAAAAAAAAAAAAACAGUGUAUGAGCUGAUGGCAUUAGGAUAUUGGGACAGCAAAAAAAUUGGGCAGCUGCACUACUUCCCAGUCACAUAAUUCAAUUUCCUCUAGCAACUGGUGUAAUGCAGCUGCUUGAGAAUCUCACCUUCAUUAUUUUGCUCCUGUUUCAAAGCUAACGGUAAAAGAAAAUGACAUUCAUGAAUACCCUAUGGCUUAGGAACUUGAGGAAGCAGGAACUGAGAGCUUUAGGCACUUGUCUUCCACCAGCUGUCCCAAAGGCCAUUCAAGCUGUAAAACCCUUCCAUCACUCUGGCUACUGAUGCCACUGGCAUCACCAGAGAAAGAUCAAUCGGGCUGAAUUAUCAGAGUCAAAGACAGAGACAGCUCUGGUGAGAAGCCCUUGAGAAAGUCUCAUGUCUUAACACCUUACUGCGUGGGAAAACUUUCCUUAACUUUCCUACUGCGUAGGAAAUAAAAGGGGGUUUGUGUGUGAGGGGUGGGAAUGCCCCGUUUCUCAUUAUUGAAAUGCUUGGCCUUGAAAGACGGUGGAGCCAGUGUGCAAAAGAUAAAUCAUAUUAAUGCUGUUUGUUUCUCUCUUUUUGCCUUCCAGUGUUGUGCUCUGGCAGCUAGAGGCAAAGGGCUUUGCACUUCAGCUGUUAUUUAUGGCUACCAGUAAAUGUACCGGUUGUUGUUGUUGUUGUUUACAGCAAGACAGAGAUAGACAUGGGGAAAUGGAAAAUACAGACUCCAAAAAGUGGAAUUUAAGAUGGAUACUUACACUUCAAUCUCAUAAAAGAGUUUGACUCUGCUCCCAGGUGCCUCCUGAGCUGCUCACUUCAAGAGAUGUCAUGAAACAGAGCUGUCACUGGGGCUGACAACUUGACUGUGCCAUGGAGAAUGAGUAUGACUGGUGGCAUGUGUUCAUGCUGGUGGCGGGGAGCAAGUGGACCUGCCAGCCUAGAGUGGAGCGCAGCAGGCUCGGGGCUGUGCGUCCUCAGAACAGAGGAGUAGCUGGGAGGCAUCUUGGGUCAGUGUGAGCAAACAGCAGUGAUUUGCAUUGUACUGUGAGAUGUACUCGGUGUGCUUCAAUCACCAGCCCUAUCUGAGGGCAACAUUCCGAUCAGAAAGAAACUCAGAAGUAUUUUCUGUUUUGUUUUGUUUUGUUUUGUUUUGCUUGUUGGAAGUUGGGGCUUUUUGUUGUGUAUGUGUGUCCCACAAGUAGCUAUUUCUUGCUGAACUAUUUUUUUUUUUUUGAAGAGGAACCAUGCAAAAUGCUUACAUGUUGCUAACCUAACGUGCACUUUUCCCACACCUCUACCCUAAAGCCUGCGGUGUGAUUUCUUGGAGUGUUAUGCAUGUUUCACUGGGAUUUCAGGAAAGAAGGCUUACCAAGAAUCCAACCCCAGAAAAAGACCUCAAAAAAAUUCCAGUUUCAUGAAACGUUUCUCAGAAGGCAAGAAACAUUCCCCUGCCUCCCUCCUUGUGAUUAAACAAGGAUGAGUGGAUUUGCAAGAUGCAGCUUGAUGGAGAAGGAACCUGUGUGCACUGCUGUUAAGCUGGCAGAAGCCAGCAACUCCCACCUAUGCCUGCAGUGAACCAGGACUGGGAACAUGCCCCAGCGAGAGCUAAGUGAGACCUGAACAAGAAGAAAUAGGUAUGUGCCAGGGUCUUAAUUCCAUCUUCAGGGGGAACUUGGUACAGAAAUCCAGUGAAAAUGUAGGAAAUAGCAUUCUUUUUGGACCUAUGGGGAAAGUUUAACACCAUCCACCAAGAUGUUAAUUAGCAGGUGAGUGAACUUGAAAAAAAGAAUGGCACAACUCAAAAUAUUACGUCUGUAUCUUGACCUGAGUGGUCUGCUAGUGCCAAGCUGGCCUGUGGGAGGUUGCUCAAGCUACUCCGGUAGCAGACUUUUAGGAGCACUGACACAAGGCACAGCUGCAGCACAGGUGAUGCACACCUCCCUCUUGUGCAAUUCCAUCAGUGACUACCUUGCCCAUCAUCAGAUUUUAUUAAAGUCUUUCAAACAGCAUUAAAAAUAAAAAGAACGGUUCCAAUAA